ensembl:lncRNA
AUACGACUGACAUCUCUUUAAGCCAUGAGAGCUUUCUUAGAUGUCAGCUGCAAAGAAGGUGUCUAAUCGCCGCUGUUUUGACCCUGAUGUCAUUUGGCUGCCAGACUUUCCCUCGGGACCCACCCUUAUAUCCCAGACCCCACUGCUGACUUGGGGCCAGAAGGAAAAAAGAUGACAGCAGGCUAGGGGGUGGAGGCACACCUGUGAUCCCAGCACUCGGGAGGCUGAGGCAGGAGGAUCACAAGCUGGAGGCCAGCCUGGGCUAUGUAACGAGACCCCGUCUACAAAACAGACAACACAAAAAUAAAAUGUCCUGAUGUGGGUGAAUGCGGAAGAUCUCUGCGGCUUCUGUGAGAAAACACGCAAGCCCGGACCUUACCGGCGACACCCUACUAAUGUCACCUUGCAGGCCAGGGACGUCUGCGCCCCACGUUGAGCCGCGGUCAGCUGCAGUUUUGGGCGCCGUCACUAGAAGGCGCCAGAGGACCAAGGAGAGGACACAAGGAGAGGUGUGGUUGCAGAGGAAGGAACAGGCCUGGCGAAGGAACUGGGCUGUCCUGAGAGAAGCCCCACAGUCAACAUCAGGGCCAGAAAGUGCCCUGAUCAGCGGCUGGUGGCUUUUUCUUUCUAAAAUAUGUGCAUGGGAAAAAAAUGUAAGACAUUCAGUACAGGAAAAAAAAAAUCUCGCCUGAAAUAAAAAGCACCAGCUGACAAGAUGGUCCCCAGCCGCUGGGCCUCUUGGUACCUGUGCCUGUGUGCGGUCCCUGCCCACACUGUAGCAGGGUUGUGGUGUGACCAGCAGGACACUGAGGCCGUGAUGGUAUCUCGCUUCUGGGAUCAGGUCAUAGAGCACUGUGGCUUCUUGCUUGUCCUCAUCUGGGGUCUCUUGCUCUUGGGGGACACAGGUGAGUGAGCGUGGAUGCAGCUCCCUGGACCAAGGCCCUGAGCACCAGCUUGACUGCAGCCUCCUGGGAGCCCUGGAGCUAGCCAGCCGUUCCCAGGUUCCCGAUCUGUGGACACUGAUGCUUCUCACUGCUGUGUCUUGGACUCAUUUGUUACAUAGUAGAUGUAACUAAUGCAGGCUAAUACAUCCCACCAGACAGGUUACACUUUUGUUAAUAUUUUGAUUUAAAUAAUCCCCAAAGCUUUCAUUCAUUCCCCAAAACUUAUAUUCAUCUCCUCCUCAGUCUUUCUCUCUACACACAUUACACAUGUACACAGUGCACACAUACACACCAUAUACAUGAGCACAUGAAUUCGGGCUUUUUCUUUCUUUGCAAAACUGGAGUCAAACAUAUUGAUAUCUCUUUUCAAGACUGACAUGUGGUUGUCUAAAGCUUUUUUGAAGCAUACUAUACAGACAAAAACUAUACCAACUGUAGGCAUACUGUGAUAAAGCUAUGCACCUUCAUGACUGUUAGCAUCAUAAGUUAAAUUUCAGCCAGAUGUAGUGGUGCACGCCUGUAAUCCCAAGACUUGAGAGGCUGAGGCAGGAUAAUUGCAAGUUCAAGGCCAGCUGUGGGGUACAUGAUGAGUUCAAGGCCAGCCUGAACUCCAUAGCAGUACUCUGUCUCAAAAAAAGUUAAAUUUUGUGUUAGUUUUUUUUUUUUUUUUUUAGUGUUUUUGAAAAUUACUUUUUUAUACUUGGCGUGUAAAGAACUCUGCUUCUAUGUCAUUAGGUAUUUAUCUUAUUCGCCAUUUUAAUCACUACAUAAUAUUCCACAGUACAUGUACAUAUACCUUUCUCUACUGUAACUCCCUUUUAUUAAUUGGCUUUAGAUCAUUUCUGACUUUACUCUUCUAUAAGUAAGGCUAUGACAUCUAUUGUAGUUGUGAGAUCUUGAAGACAUCAUUCACAAUAUUUUAAUAUCUAUAUCUGUCUUUUUUUUUUUUUUGGUACUGGGAAUCGAACUUGGGGCCUUGCACUUGCCAGGCAGGUGGCACCACCACUAAGCUAAAUCCCCAGCCCUCAUUCACAAUAUUUUAGUAAAUUUCCUACACUUGAAAUUUUUUUGUUUUGUUUUUUUGAGACAGGGUCUCACUAUGCUGUUCAGGCUGGCCUUAAACUCAUGGUGAUCCUCCUUUCUCAGCCUCCUGAAUGCUGGGAUUUCAGGUGUGCACUACCACUUCUGGCUGCAUAUGAAAUUUAUGAAUCAAAAAAGUAUAUAAAAAAGUUAAAGCUUUAGAUGAAAUCUUGCUGAAUUUCUAUCUAGACAGUAAUUUACAUUCUCAGCAUACUAUGUGUGAAUUGUCUCUUUACACCUUGGAUGACAGUGAAUAUUAUAGUCAUUGUUUUCUGGAUGACUUUAUUAGGCAAAUUAAAAAGUAAUAAAACUUCUGGUAGCCUUUACAUGGAGUCUGGAGCCCCAGUUAGAGUUUUGCACAAGAUAGCACUGCACAUCCAAGAUCUAAGGAGUUCUGCCCUGUGUUCCCAUGGCUGCAGUCCUGGCAGUGAGACCGAGUGUCAUGGCUGCCGGGUGUCAUGGCCACCGGGUGUCAUGGCCACCCGCUGUCAUGGCCGCCCAGUGUCAUGGCCGUGUCUUGGACAAGGUGGUCAUGUUAUGGCCCUGACUCAGCAGCCUUAGCAGUGAGUUCCAUUUGAGGCACUUGUUCUCUGACACGGGUUGUAGACUCAAGAUGGAAGGAUCCUUGAAGGCCCCUGGAACCAUCUUUGGCCUCCACAUUGGUCCUGUCUAUCCCACUCGUCCCAAAGCUUCCAUACUUUCAGAGCCUUCAGAGGGAGGGAGAUGACAUAGUGAUUCCGUGCAACAUUUGGAAUGUGUGAGUGGGAACAGACCUGUCUCAUGAGACCCCACAGGCUGAUGAAGGGCCUAGGUGUGGCACUGACAGGGACACAGGGUGGCUCAACUUGAGG